CCUGUCUCUGCUAUAAUUAGCUUUGAAUACACAUUGAGAAUCAUGUUCAUAGUGUGUGUUUCCCAGCAGACAUGGAUGAGCUGUGUUGUGUUAGGGUUGUCAGGAUGAUCAUUGGAUUAACAUACACAAUGCUGCUCUACCCUUCCUCUGCCACUGAAACACAUAACAUAUUUGCAGACGACACAACAGUAGUAGGCCUGAUUACCAGCAAAGAUGAGGAGGAGGUGAGGGGCCUGGCAGAGUGGUGCCAGGAAAAUAACCUCUCUCUCAACGUCAACAAAAACGAAGGAGCUGAUUGUGGACUUCAGGAAACAGCAAAGGGAGCACCCCACCUAUCCACAUCGACGGGACCACAGUGGAGAAGGACAUGUUCAGAUGCACAAUUGAGAUCAUCUUGUCGGGCUGUAUCACCACCCGCAACCGCAGGGCUCUCCAGAGUGUGGUACAGUCUGCCCAACGCAUCACACUGCCUGCCCUCCAGGACACCUACAGCACCCAAUGUCACAAGAAGGCCAAAAAGAUCAUCAAGGACAACAACCCCCCGAGCCACAGCCUGGUCACCCCGCUAUCAUCCAGAAGGCAAGGUCAGUACAGGUACAUUAAAGCUGGGACCGAGAGAUUGAAAAACAACUUCUAUCUCAAGGCCAUCAGACUGUUAAAUAGCCAUCCCUAACCAGCUACCACCCGGCUAUGCAACCCUGCACCUUAAAGGCUGCUGCCCUAUAUACAUAGACUUCACUGGCCAAUCACUGGCCACUUUAAUAAUGGAACACUAGUCACUUUAAUAAUGUUUACAUACAGAGAGAGAGAGAGAGAGAGAGAGAGAGAUAGAACACGCCCUCUACAGGAUGCAACAGGGAACUGCAAUCAAACAUUGACAUGCUUCUCCAUUGACAUUAUUAUUUUUCUUCAUACCAGUUAAACAUUAUCAGAGACCUGAGGCCUCCACCCUCCCUAUCCUCCCUAGCAACGAGAUGAUUCCAACAAACAAGAGGGUGAUAACAAUACAUAACACAACAGUCAGCUGUGGGCUGGAAAGGCUGGGUAGUUCAACUCCCUCUUGUUCUCUAAUAGGACUGACGCAAGGUCCUUCAGCAUUCACAGCAAAGGAAGACAACCUUGGCCUUACUGGGGAAAGGGAGGAGGAAAUGGGAGGAUGGAGGGUGUGAUGAAGGGAUCAAGGAGGAUGAAGUCAGAAUGACACUGCAAACAGAAACCUGCCGCCACAUGACAACUCCAACAGAGGAGGAAAAUACCAGCUCUGUUUCUAGCUUGUGGCAAUGUCAAAUCAAAUCAAAUCAUAUUGAAUUUGUCACAUCCUUCAUAGACAACUGGUGUAGACUAACAGUGAAAUGCUUAAUUACUGGCCCUUUUCCAAAAAUGCAGAGGUAAAGAUCAAAUCAAAUCAAAUGUUAGUAGCCACAUGCACUGAAUACAACAGGUGUAGUAGACCAACUGUCACGUUCUGACCUUAGUUCCUUUUGAAUGUCUUUAUUUUAGUUGGUCAGGGCGUGAGUUGGGGUGGGCAUUCUAUGUUGUUUUGUUCUGUUGUUAUAUUUCUAUGUGUUUGGCCUAGUAUGGUUCUCAAUCAGAGGCAGGUGUCAGUCGUUGUCUCUGAUUGGGAGCCAUAUUUAGGCAGCCUGUUUUCUAUUAUGUUUUGUGGGUGGUUGUAUCCUGUGUUAGUGUUUUCACCAUAUGGGACUGUUUUCGGUUGUUUGUUUGUUAUUUUGUUCAGUGUUCUGUUGAUUUAUUAAAUAUAUCAUUAUGGACACUUA
ensembl:lncRNA